GUCUUAGGUUAGUUAUUAUGAAAAAUCACAUUUAAGUGUUUAUCACUUGAAUUUAAUUGGUAAGUAAUCAUUUUAGGUUUUAUUUUAUAGAAUCACUUAGUUUAUAAAAUAUACUUGCAUAUUUAAUUAGGUGGUCACACUAUACAUAUACAAUAUAUUUUAUCACACAUAUUGCACAUUCAAUUUAUCGUAGAGUAAAACUGUAUCAUCACAAUUUAGGGUUUUAUCUAUCGCUUCGGUAAAUAUUAUUGUUAAUCGGCAUGGUAAUCACCAAUGUCUAAUAAUGCAAAUUCUAUGCAUAUAGCGGGCUAUACUAGACUUCAUGAGACCUAAUUUAGUACAAUUAAGUCUAAUGUACAUAAUUAAAAUAAACGUGAUCAGUUAAAGUGUAUGGAUUUGACCUGAGAAAUUGUCGGUUGUCACAAAAAUACCUUGGGUUUUUAGAGAACAAGAGAGAUUACUUGGAUGAACUUAGAGAGUGUUUUAGGUGAAAAUGAAGUGUGUUGUGGGUGUUUGCUCUUUGUGGUCAGUUUUAAGAAGAGAGAGUGAGAAGGGUGAAAUGCAGGGCUGGCCCAUGGGCCAUUAAAGUCAAGCUAGGGCUUUAGGCCUCCAACUUGAUAGGGCCUCCAACAAAAAAAAUGUAUGUUCUUUGUUGUUUGCGAUUAUGAGCUUAAAAACAAGAAACUGGGCUUACUAUGAGAACUGAUUGGGCUGGCCCCAUACCUGUAAUUAUGUAAACGAACGGGUAUUAAAUGCCUUUGAAAAAAGUAAAUUAGGUUAGAUAGAACUGAAAGGACGAUGGCUAUUGGCAUGCGUGGAUUUAGGUGGUGCAAUAGAAGCGACAACUAUGCUAUUUUUACAAUAAUUUUCUGUUUCCAAUACUUUUAAUGGAACCCACAAAAAUUCGUUGAAAUAUUAGGAUCAAAGAAUUUAGAUUUGAACAGAGGUAACCAUUCAUUGAAUUUUUAUUGUUCUUUAAUAUCUUACUAGGUUAUGGAGGGGGGAUGUAAGAACAUAAAUUUGUUGACUAAUUGCUUAUAGAGAAUGAUGGAGAGGUUUAAUUUAAAUGUACAAGUAUGUUUAGUUAUUUUAGAUGUUCUAUGUAUAAACACAAUCGAUUUUUGUAUGACAGUGAACAAUUAGGUAGUUUUGAAGUUGAAAACUGUUCAAAAGAGGGAAUGUAAUAAUUUUUACGAGAUGGAAAGGAAGCAAUCCACCGAACAGUUGAAGACAACCUCAUGGUGUUAGGAUGCAGUUAAUUUCUUUUGUUUUAUUAGUAUGCGUACUUGUAUUUAACAUACCUCUUGUAACACCCUAGUUACUAAUUAACGAUUUUGUAUGUAAUUAC
rnacentral:lncRNA from 1 species